rnacentral:lncRNA from 1 species
GAGGGGCGCAAUCGCCGCAGCCGCAGCCGCAGCUGCCGCCGCCUCCACCUCCACCUCCCAGCGACCGGCAAACCUCAUGCCUUAGAUUGGUUCUCACGCUUGAUUUUUUGAAAGUUGAAGUGUCA